UACGGAGGGUGCAAGCGUUAAUCGGAAUCACUGGGCGUAAAGCGCACGUAGGCGGUGCCGUAAGUCGGAUGUGAAAGCCCUCGGCUCAACCGGGGAACUGCAUUCGAUACUGCGGUGCUUGAGUGUCGGAGAGGGUGGCGGAAUUCCAGGUGUAGGAGUGAAAUCCGUAGAUAUCUGGAGGAACACCAGUGGCGAAGGCGGCCACCUGGCCGACAACUGACGCUGAGGUGCGAAAGCGUGGGGAUCAAAC
rnacentral:rRNA from 1 species